UGAGACGGUAGAGGGGUUAGAAAUCAAUAAAUUAAAAUAGGCUAUUUAUUUCAGGUAGCCUAUUAUUUCACCCCAAAAAAUAAGUUUAAAAUCUCCCCCCAAAAAUGGAAUCACGUUCCCAGCGCCCCCCUAGGUGGUGCGAACGCCCCCGUUGAGAAACCAUGGUAGGCUAUAGAUGGUAAAGCCGUACAAGGAGCCACAUAGGAAAAUGUUACAGGGCAAUGGGUCAUAUCGGUACCGUUACAUGGAGGAUGUUCCCUGUCUCAGACAACAAAUCAGUUGCGCAGUAUGAGUGCUAUGGAUUUGCCUUAUAGGCCUACUGGUCAUGGUUUACUUCAGCUGGUUGAAGGUCAUGCGCUGCGGCAGAGUAUCUGCCAAGGAAAAUAAAUUUCGGGAUACGAGUGGUUGGGGGAUAACAAGAUCUAUUCUAAUGCCACUUGUAUGUGGCCGACGGAGACCUACCAGAGUUGUGGAGAAGGAAGCACUCGACAUGAAUGCACCUGGACUGAAAGAAUAGGACUGGUGUUUGUUACCGCGGCCGAAGAUACACUGCACACGAUCGUGGGCUGUUGGACGAGGGGUCAUGACUAUAGGAGGAUGGAUGCUUGACAAACUCCUCGCCCUCAUGUGGCUGCUCUGGCCGGUGAUGCUAACCUUUUUCCUAGUGGCGCUUGGAAUCCUGGCCUUUUUUAUUAUUUUUAAAGCAGGAACUAUGGCAGCAUUCCAAAGACUGUUUGGUAUGGCGGCCCCCGUCAACAAAAAUCCCCAAAGGAAUAGAGAGUCAUCCUGGGCUCUGAAGGCCAUUAGAUAAGGAGCCUGCCAAAACCGAGUGGAACUCCCCAAUCUCUACCAACAUGAUAGGGAAUACUCCUGGCCUUGACCGACAAUAGACCGAAAUUUGACUGACAACUGACCGACAAGAUGAAAGAGCCCCUGUCCCGGCUGGGGAGGAGAGAUCGAGAGAUGACGGAAAUUGGGUCCGCCCUACCCUGCCCCUCGGGGUGGGUGGAGGCAAGCAGAUAUAUUAAGCCAGUAACUGCGUGGUUGAGUAGUUGUAGUGGACUGGUGACUGACUAGCGAUGGAUGUUUCCGGUACCUCCACAACCCCACUCUUGACGACCUGGCCUGCUAAUAGAGCUGCCGAGUGUUACCGGUGUCAGGCGGGUCCUAGCCAGGCCCUAUACUUAUGGGACGUGGAAGAACGUAUAAUCUGUAACACUUGUCAUGAUGACUUGCCUGGAUUCUUUAAUGGACAUGGGAUUUUUAGCAGUCAGGGCGUGCCCUCGCCGGUGUCCGCAUCCACUAUGCUAGAUUUGUACACCAACUACCCCAUAAAUUGGCACAAUAAUGUGUGUCCCUUGGGGGAUGGGACCCCCGUGGAAACACAACAGUAUGCGAAUGGCCAAUAUUUUCUAGUUAUCCCGCUAGUGUGGGUGGGCCCGGGUGGAGCAUGCAUGAGUACUGCCAUUCUGGGGUCUGGCCUGUGCUUUGCUGCGCGUGCUAUGCCUGCAACCAUCUUCAUGAUGCAGUUUCCAGACCGGGGCCUGCAGACGCGCAUGCCUCCAUCUCCAGCCCCCUGCUGGCUUUCUGAUACACCAUGCCCGGCUCGUCCGCGCCGCCCUGCGGCCACGGCGGGGGCUCUUCGUAAUCCUGAUGUGCCAGGCGACCACAGACCUCCGGGGCCGCCAACUCCCCUGGAUACUCUGGAUGUCGUGGGUGAUUGUCCCCAUCCCCGCCCGACUGUUCCCCCUCACUUCCCGCCAAGUCGUCCUGCCCCGGAUUGGCUUCGAGGACCUAUGGAUGUGUAAUGUAGGCCUAUGUGUUGUCUCCAAGGGACUCUACCGAAAUCAAGGAGGGGGUGUCAAGUAAGGUAGAUUUCUUGGAGUCCAGGAGACAGGGCGGAGGUGGUUUUGUCUGUGGGCGGACAAGGGCUGGGGAGGCAUGGGUUGUUGGGAAAUUACCAAGGCCAAGGGAGAUGUGUUUUUUUUUCCAGCAGGGGCUGAAGGAUGUUAAAGAGGCAUGGAUUUACUUAUGUCAGUGUUACUUAUGUUUCAGGUUUAUUCAUGUAUCAGUUUAACAUCAUGAAAUCAUAUAUCAUGUUUUAGUAUCAUCAUAUAACAAUCAUUUUCGUUGUUUCUUUGUUUUAGUAGGCUAUUAUCAUAAAUCGUAUCAUCAUAUCAUAUAUCAUGGUUUAGUAUCAUCAUAUAACGAUCUCUUUCUUUAAUAUCUAUCAUUCAUUCUAAAGUGUUUCUUUGUUUUAGUAUCAUCAUAAAUAUAUCUCUUUCUUUAAUAUCUAUCAUUCCUUAUAAAAUGUUUCUUUGUUUUAGUAUCAUCAUAAAUAUAUCUCUUUCUUUAAUAUCUAUCAUUCAUUAUAAAAUGUAUCAUGUUGCUUUGACAUAAUCGAGUAUGGAAGUAAGCACUUAAAAGGAUUCAAGCACUUAUUGGUAAAACUAUGUUGUCCUACACUUAUGACUGGUUGUAUUGUUGUAUUGUUUGACAUUUUAUGAUCUUACACUUAUAAGGUGUUGUAUUAUUGUAUUUUUUAUCAUUAUAUGGUGUAUUUUACUUAUAGUAUAAUUUGUGGAACAAUACGAACAAUCUGAAGGCGUCAGAUUGUUCGUAUUGUUACUCCCCCUAUUGUUACUCCCCCUCGCCAUCCCUUCCAUGGCGAGGGGGAGAAAUACCCAGGUCACAUUGACCUGAUGCAGGCCAGCUGCAUAAGAGAAAGGGGAGGUUACAGAGGUAAAACUUCUAGAUACUGAUACGGGUUGCUCCCGCGUCAUCAGAGGGAGAGCCGCGCUGGUAUGGGUUGCUCCGGUGUCGGGAGAGGGAGAGAGAGGGGUUCUCUAUCUCUCCUCGGGCACGGAGGGUCGGUCUCAUCAAAUGGUCCCACAGCCAGGAAGGUCUCAUCAAAUGGUCCCACAGCCAGCGGAGAAUCUCUCUCUCUCUCUCUCUCUCUCUCUCUCUCUCUCUCUCUCUCUCUCUCUCUCUCUCUCUCUCUCUCUCUCUCUCUCUCUCUCUCUCUCUCUCUCUCUCUCUCUCUCUCAUACUUUAGGGUGCCUCUUUGACUUACUGUGUUAUAAUUUGUUGUGUUUUAGUUAGUGUAGGCCUUAAUAAAAUAAUACAUAUAUUUUGUA